rnacentral:misc_RNA from 1 species
AAGACUAUAGACCUGCGGAGUACCUGCGGAAGGAUCAUUACAGAGUGUGACCCCCUGUAAAAAGGGGGGUACCUCCCGUCCUUUGCAGGCCCUUUAGGGUCUUUUACACUUUGCUUCGGUGGGGUAACCCACCGGAACACCCUCAAAAAUUCUGAUUUUAAAAUUGUUCAGUCUGAGAAUUUUGAAAAUAAAAUAAAAACUUUCAACAAUGGAUCUCU